rnacentral:rRNA from 1 species
UACAGAGGUCUCAAGCGUUGUUCGGAUUCAUUGGGCGUAAAGGGUGUGUAGGUGGCGCGCUAAGUCGGGUGUGAAAUUUCGGAGCUUAACUCCGAAACUGCAUUCGAUACUGGCGUGCUUGAGGACUGGAGAGGAGACUGGAAUUCAUGGUGUAGCAGUGAAAUGCGUAGAGAUCAUGAGGAAGACCAGUGGCGAAGGCGGGUCUCUGGACAGUUCCUGACACUGAGACACAAAGGCCAGGGGAGCAAACGGG